CUAACACCAUCACCAAAGAAACACGAAGUAACUAUAGAAAAUAGCAAACGAAGAAACUACAGUAAGCAAAUCAGAUAUCUAUACCUGUCAUACGUUGUAAUGAUUAUAAUGUCAACAUAAAUAAUUAUAUCAAUACCUAAAUGUAAUACACAUUGUUGAUCACCAUCAACAAAAAAUACUAAAUAAAUGUACAAAGUAAUUUGUGAUUUCGUAUACAGUAGCUUGUUUAUUUCGCGUUCGCGUUCCUAGCGUAAAUAACCAUUAGAUCCGCCGAGGCAUUUCACUCAGUGCAACUGAGUGAAUGCGACGUCAGAUCCUAAGCGGAAAUGACGCUGAGCUGUGUCUGCUGUGGCUGUGUUUACAUCGGGGAAGAGGACUGGUUUGGAUUUCAUCGCGUUUUCGCCGCAGAUACAUGGGUUUUCUGCAUAUAUCAUGCUUUUAUUGCAUAUAUCAUGCUUUUAUCGUCGUUUCCUGUGAUGUUGAUCGUACGGACACAGGUUGUAGUGCAAAAAUAAUUGAAACAUGUCAACAUCCAUGGAAACGGCACGACCUUUGAUCGGCAUUUCAGUGCACUUUGCCGUUGUAACUGAGACGUGUUACUCAUAGGGGCGGGAUUCCCAUGCCAUAUGGAUAGAGUAAUGAAAAAUUGUUGAUAACAAGGAUUUUCGUUUACUUUGAAGCAUUUUAUUAAAUGCCGCGCAUGCGCAGAUAGAAGUUAUUUCUGCCGCGGUAGUACUAACCUCUAGGAGGUUACUUAGUACUGCCGCGGCAGAAAUAACCCCUAUCUGCGCAUGCGUGAAUUAAUAAUGCAAGUCCAACAUAGAUUGAGAAAUAAAAAUAAAAUAACACAGACACAAACAAAUGCAACAUCAAUAGAUUACAAGAUGCAAAUAAAUGAAAACUUGUGUGCAUUACAACUUUUAACACAGGCAUACAGAACUGUCACAUUUCAAAGAACUGUCAAAUUUACUUCAAUUUUCAUAGGGAUAGGCAUGCACUGUGCAAAUUUCAGCCAACCCAAUAUUAGUAAACAAAAGUUUGGUUAGUUAGGUAGGUUGGUUAGUUAGGUAGGUUAGUUGUAACUAAUGUAAAUUUACCUACAGUUUAAUGAUAUUAUUAGUAGUUAGUUGUGACUAAUGACUUUUCCCUACAAUCUCAUAAAUUCCAAUAAUUAAAAUAAUUCCAUACUUCAAUAAUACUCUGUUUCUAGUAAAAAUCAUUUCAAGGACCAAAUGAAUGCAAUUCUUCAAAAUUAUGUGUUCUAGUAUUGUAGGUUCAUAUGACGUUUGUUUACAUCAUGACCCCAGGGUAUUGGGGAUGCACUAUUUAUACCUGUGAGGUUUCGUUGUGGGGUACAGUCCAUUAAAAAUGCAUAAAAUUGUGUAAUAAUUAAAAAUAGAUUAAUAUAAAAAAAUAAUUGAAAAACUAAUGAUUUGGAUCUGAACAAUUAGAAUGAUGCUCGGGAUGUCUACAUUUUUGUCUGAACAAUUAAAAUGAUGCUCAGGAUGUCUACAUUUUUAUCUGGACAAUUAGAAUGAUGCUCGGGAUGUCUACUUUUUUGUCUCGGGCUCGUGAUCCUGUCUACAUUAUGACUUGCUUGUUUUUUGUUUUUGAAACUGAGAUGUUGAUGUGUUUUAUUCGAAUCGUGUCGUCUAUAUUUUAUCUAGGAUGUUGUCCACUAAGUCACUGGUGGGGAUGACAGCACUACCCUGCACACAGACAUUGAAUGGAGCUGCCUGGUCCAUUAUCAGAAGAGUGGGCAGCACUUUGCACCCGGUCAAUGAAUUUUUCUUGAGAAGCAUUACAAGGGACUUGUAUGAAUAGGCAGAAGAAAUUUUCUUAACUAACUACCUCACCAUUGCCUGGUGUUGGAGACUGAACAUUUUAUUGAAAAUUGAUGAGAUGUAGGAAUCAGUGGAUGUCAUCGUUUGUCCUGAGAAGAGUCAGAGAACUGCUUGGGCCUCACGAGAUGCUGACACCAUGCAGUAGAGCUGUUCCCAUCGGUAUCUCUUAAAACAGACAGAUUGAGAUUCUCUUAACAUCUGAUCCAUUUCUGGAGACAAACUUUUGUAUGGAGCUGGGUAGCAGUUACUUGAAAUGUCCAGCUGAUUGAUGAGGAUAAUUUCCCUCAGACUAUAACAUGUUGUAGGACUUGGACAGCUCUAUUGCUGAGAAAAUAUCAGGAUGGUGGGGACUUAAAUAAGUGGUGUGAUGUUAUUGAUGUUAAACAGAAGACUGUGACCUUGAAUCUGAAGAUCUGUGGUGAAGACUGGACGUUUGGGGUCACUCUCUGUUACAGUACUACAAAUCUAAGUAAGUACUCAGUAAUAAUGUAAGACUGAACUCUGUAUCAUGUUUAUCUAAUAUAUACAUUGUAAAAUCAAACAUAUAUUGAACAAGAGGCCCACGGGCCUUAUAGGUCACCUGAGUAUCAUGUAACAACCUUCCAAUGUUUGAAUUAGGUUUGUGUUUAAAUAUAAGAAUUUUACUUUUGGAUGGAAGAAACAUUGAAUAGCUAUGUGGUCAGCCCCGCCUUUGCACCAGAACCCCUGACCCAGGGGCCAUAAAUUUCAGUUUUGAAAGAAGCAUCCUUGAUCAUCAUUAUCAUACUAUUAGUUUGUCUACUUAAUACCCAGCAGCAGAGGAGAAGAUUUUCAAAGAAAUAAAAUGCAUUUUCACUAUAUGAUCAAUAGGGCCCCACCCUAAUGCCAGAACCCCUGACCCAGGGGCCAUGAAUUUCACAAUUUUGAAAGAGGCAUCCUUGCUCAUCAUAACCAUGCUAUUGGUUUGUCUACUUAAUACCCAAGGACAGAGAAGAAGAUUUUCAAAGAAAUAAUGCAUUUUCACUAUAUUACUUAUAGAGCCCCACCCUAGCACCAGAACCCCUGAUCCAGGGGUCAUGAAUUUCACAAUUUUUAACAAGAGGUACUGUGAGCAAUGCUCACUAAGAAUACCCCCCGCUUACCCCAAUCUCCCAAAGGGUGUUGGUAAUAGGUAUAAACUACCUCUUUCUGAGUGUUGCUACUUCGAUGUCCAGUGUGCAUGACCUUUGACCUUUUGACCCCAAAAUUGAUAGGGAUCAUCUUCAUCCCAUGGGUAGUCCAUAUGUUUGAUAUGGUGACUGUAGGUGGAAAGGAUAACACUUUAGAGCCCGGAAACCAUAUUGCUACUUCAAUGUCCAGUGCGCUUGACCUUUGGACCCCAAAAUCGAUAGGGAACAUCUUCAUCCUAUGGGUAGUCCAUAUGUAUGAUAUGGUGACUGUAGGUGGAAAGGAUAACACUUUAGAGUCCGGAAACCAUAUUGCUACAUCAGAUGUCCAGUGUGCUUGACCUUUGACCUCAAAAUCGAUAGGGAACAUCUUCAUCCCAUGAGUAGUCCAUAUAAUUAUAUGAUAUGGUGACGGUAGGUGAAAAGGAUAAUGCUUUAGAGCCCGGAAACCAUUGCUUCUACAGACGGACAACCCGAUUCCAGUAUACCCCCCCCCCCUCCCCCACAACUUGUUGCGGGGGGGGGGGGGGGGUAUAAAGAGGCAUCCUUGCUCAUCAUUACCAUGCUAUUAGUUUGUCUACUUAAUACCCAGAGACAGAGAAGAUUUUCAAAGAAUUUCUACAUUUUCACUAUAUGACCCAUAGAGCC